rnacentral:rRNA from 1 species
GAUGAACGCUGGCGGCGUGCCUAAUACAUGCAAGUCGAGCGAACAGACGAGGAGCUUGCUCCUCUGACGUUAGCGGCGGACGGGUGAGUAACACGUGGAUAACCUACCUAUAAGACUGGGAUAACUUCGGGAAACCGGAGCUAAUACCGGAUAAUAUAUUGAACCGCAUGGUUCAAUAGUGAAAGACGGUUUUGCUGUCACUUAUAGAUGGAUCCGCGCCGCAUUAGCUAGUUGGUAAGGUAACGGCUUACCAAGGCAACGAUGCGUAGCCGACCUGAGAGGGUGAUCGGCCACACUGGAACUGAGACACGGUCCAGACUACUACGGGAGGCAGCAGUAGGGAAAGUUCCGCAAUGGGCGAAAGCCUGACGGAGCAACGCCGAGUGAGUGAUGAAGGUCUUCGGAUCGUAAAACUCUGUUAUUAGGGAAGAACAAAUGUGUAAGUAACUAUGCACGUCUUGACGGUACCUAAUCAGAAAGCCACGGCUAACUACGUG